rnacentral:lncRNA from 1 species
AGAGUUUUGGCCUCAGCCGUUUGACUCUAAUCAGGAAAUCAUUUUUAGAAAGAUUUGUCAGUGUAAGAAAACAAGCUCCUGAACUAAAUUAGGAUCUGGAUUAUUUUUCCCUCCUCUCUCGAUCUGCAGUGCAAGGCAGAGUGGUGAGCCAUCACGGUUUUGUGUGUGGUGAAUUUGUUUCCACUGCACAUUUUAAUUCGGAGCUCCUGAAGGUGUCUGUGUUUGUAAGGACUGUGUUUUUGGAGCUGCUCCCUCGGAGUAAUGAAUUCACGGCAUGUCUCUGGGAAAUUAAGGUUUCUUUUCUGGGAGCUGCUAUCACUGAAUACAUAAAGAAAUUGAGCCUAUAUGAUUUCAAUCUUCACCUUCUGAUGCUGAUGAAACAGGAUUCUAUGCAGUUUUCCACAGGGAGAAGCAGCAGGCUGAAGUGGCUCUUUAGGGAGACACAUACCUCCACAGGAAGAGCAGUCUAGAUUGUUUUAGCACAUUCCACUUAAGGAUUGCAGUGUGACAGCAGAGAAAAUCCUCUCCAGUCAAGUAAUUGCAUCCAUUUCAUCUUCCCAGCCCUCCUCUAGAUGGGAGGUGGAGGUGUGUGUACCAAUCUCUUAAUUCAGAAAUGAGACAAGAGGAGGAAAAAGGAGUUCCGGAACUUUGAGUAAAGCUGAUCACCUUACGUAAUGUGAGUGGGUCUCGUCCAAUCAACUGAAGGCUUUAAGAGCAAAGACAAAGGUUUUUCAAAGAGAAAAAGAAGACUCUCCUCAAGACUGUGACAUAGAAACUCUGCCUGAAUUUCUAGCCUGCUGCCCUGCAGAAUUUAGAGUCAAGCCUACAACAUAACUCUUACCUGAAUUCUCAGGCUGCUGACUUACCCUGCAGAUUUUGGACUUGCCAGCCCCUCACAAUCCCAUGAGCCAAUUCCUUAAAAUAAAUCUCUCUUUUUCCCUCUGUAUAUAUUUAUGUCCUAUUGAUUUUGGUUCUCUGGAGAGCCCUGACUACUACACUGAGUGAAGGGAGGGCUUUGCUAAGUGAUCAUGGUCCCAAGGGCAGCCUCUGAGAGCCCGCUCCUUUUGCAGGAUAUUUGAAGACCAGACCUUGAGUCAAAUUCUGCAGCCAAAUUCAAUGCCCAUAAGACUUUCUGCUCAGAAGACGUCAUGCAAAGGGAAUCCCCAGGGCUCUUUAAAUUAGAUCUUCUGUUUGUGCAGACACGUGAUAAAUGUUUUGGGUACAGCCUGGCUCACACCACAUUUUCCACUUUUUGGGUGGAGUCAGUUUUAAUUGACAAGAAGUGCCUUUACAGGUGGACUUUUUUUUUGGUGGUGGAGGGGAGUAGUUAAAACCGAUGCUUUGCAUUCUGUUGGGCAGCAGAAAGAUUGCUUUUUCAAUAAGCAAGCCUUGGGUUUUUCUGAGCCAGUGGUAUGAGAAAUGCCUCUCCUGAAGGCCACCACGCAAGCGAGUCCCCACAGAAGCAUGCCCGAGCUGUCAGGUGCAGGGAGAAAUAUCUUUAGUAAGAGCCGGUCAUGUAAUGAGACUUCCCCACCACAGCAUAGAUGGGCAGAGGGGUUUCCACAAGGACAAUUCUUAAGAAUCUCUGUAAAAACGCAUGACUCCAUCUGUCUCCUCUCUCUUCUUUGGCUUCAGAUGAGCUGAGCCAUUUAAAAAUUCCCCAACAAGGGACCCCAGGCACCAGAAGAAGUGAUGAACAGAUUUUCAAUUUGGCCCUGAUUUGCAUAAAUUUUUUUUUUCUGGCAG